rnacentral:tRNA from 1 species
GGAGAAGUACCCAAGCAGGUCGAAGGGGACGGUUUGCUAAACCGUUAGGUCAGGUAACUGGCGCAAGAGUUCGAAUCUCUUCUUCUCCGCCA